CCUUUGUACACACCGCCCGUCGCUACUACCGAUUGAAUGGCUUAGUGAGACCCUCGGAUUGGCGUUAGGAAGCCGGCAACGGCAUCCUUUGGCCGAGAAGUUGGUCAAACUUGGUCAUUUAGAGG
rnacentral:rRNA from 1 species